UGCAUUUACAUUUCUUCCAUGUCUUUUCAUGGUUUGAUAGCUAAUUUCUCUUGAUUGCUCAAUAAUAUUCCACUGUAUGGCUGAACUCCAGUUUGUUCAUCCAUUCCCCUAUUGAGGGACAUCUCAGCUGCUUUCAGUUUUUGGCAAUGAUGAGUAAACAUUCGUGUGCAGGUUUUUGCUUGGACAUUUGUUUCCAGUUUAUGUGGAUACAAGCUCAGGUGCACGCUGGCUGAAUCAUAAGGUCCUCACAUCUCCCUGGAUUCCAGCUCCAUCACAGAGUCUUCCAUUCCCAGCUUGGUGGAAGGCGGAUAUCAGUCUCCUUUCCUUGGACCUCUUCUGGGCCACAACAUGCUCUCACCACCCUUGGAGAGAAGAUGACCCCUCCUGACCCAUGCCCAGGCCAUGCCUGUCUAACCCCCCAUAAAGAGCAGGCAGGACAUCUUAGAAUGGCCCCUCCAGGCUCCUUGUUCA
rnacentral:lncRNA from 1 species